ensembl:ncRNA ZK945.13 ncRNA
GUCUCGCAACGACGAAGAAGAGAGUGUGUAAAUUGAGAGACGUCAGAAGACAACAUGCGCCUUUAACAUUUUCUUUUCAUUUUUCUUUACUUUUUCGUAACUUUUUGUUACUAUUUUGAAGCUGUGCAAUUUGUUUCCAAAGUAAAAAUCGCUUAAACCUCACAUAAAAUUGUCUUGUGUUUAUUACUCCUUUUAAUAUGCGUGUC